ACGGCGGACGGGUGAGUAACGCGUGGGUAACCUACCCUGUACACACGGAUAACAUACCGAAAGGUAUGCUAAUACGGGAUAAUAUAUUGAGAGGCAUCUCUUAAAUAUCAAAGGUGAGCCAGUACAGGAUGGACCCGCGUCUGAUUAGCUAGUUGGUAAGGUAACGGCUUACCAAGGCGACGAUCAGUAGCCGACCUGAGAGGGUGAUCGGCCACAUUGGAACUGAGACACGGUCCAA
rnacentral:rRNA from 1 species